UACGUAGGGGGCUAGCGUUGUCCGGAAUCAUUGGGCGUAAAGCGCGUGUAGGCGGCUUUGCAAGUCGGGUGUGAAAGCCCUCAGCUCAACUGAGGAAGUGCGCCCGAAACUGCAGAGCUUGAGUGCCGGAGAGGGUGGCGGAAUUCCCCAAGUAGAGGUGAAAUUCGUAGAUAUGGGGAGGAACACCGGUGGCGAAGGCGGCCACCUGGACGGUAACUGACGCUGAGACGCGAAAGCGUUGGGGAGCAAACAGG
rnacentral:rRNA from 1 species